rnacentral:rRNA from 1 species
CCCUUAGAUGUUCUGGGCCGCACGCGCGCUACACUGACGAAUGCAACGAGCUUAUAACCUUGGCCGAAAGGUCUGGGUAAUCUCCAAAUUUCGUCGUGAUGGGGAUAGAUCAUUGCAAUUAUUAAUCUUCAACGAGGAAUGCCUAGUAAGCGCAAGUCAUCAGCUUGCGUUGAUUACGUCCCUGCCCUUUGUACACACCGCCCGUCGCUCCUACCGAUUGAAUGGUCCGGUGAAGCGUUCGGACCGUGGCCUUUGGACGGUUCGCCGUCUGUUGGCUGCGGGAAGUUCGUUAAACCUUAUCAUUUAGAGGAAGGAGAAGUCGUAACA